UAUUCCCGUACUAUGUGUACCCAGAACUGUGGGGACGCAUGUGGAGAGCAUGAGCCGGGAAAGAAAAGACCGGUACAAGCGGGGUAGGAGUAAGGACAGCAAAUCUUCCUUACAAUCCGAAGACGUGAUGUGGACCGAACCAAAGUAGGGAAGCAUGUGAGCCAUGUGCCAAGAAAAGCCGCUAUUGUGAUACACAUACCCGUACCGUAAACCGACACAGGUGGAUGAGGAGAGAAUCCUAAGGCCGACGGAAGAAGCAUUGUUAAGGAACUCGGCAAAAUGACCCCGUAACUUCGGGAGAAGGGGUGCCCUGUGAAAGCAGGGCCGCAGAGAAUAGGCUCAAGCAACUGUUUAGCAAAAACACAGGUCUAUGCGAAACCGAAAGGUGAGGUAUAUGGGCUGACGCCUGCCCGGUGCUGGAAGGUUAAGAGGAGAAGUCAGGCAACGAAGCUUCGAAUUUAAGCCCCAGUAAACGGCGGCCGUAACAAUAACGGUCCUAAGGUAGCGAAAUCCCUUGUCGGGUAAGUUCCGACCCGCACGAAAGGCGUAAUGAUUUGAGCACUGUCUCGACAAUGCAUCCGGUGAAAUUGAAGUACCAGUGAAGAUGCUGGUUACCUGCGCCAGGACGGAAAGACCCCAUGGAGCUUUACUCCAGCUUGAUACUGGGAUUCGAUACUGUAUGUACAGGAUAGGUGGGAGACGUUGAACAUAGAACGCCAGUUUUAUGUGAGUCGCUGUUGGGAUACCACCCUUGCAGUAUUGGAUUUCUAACCUGCACCCAUGACCUGGGUGGGGGACAAUGUCUGGCGGGGAGUCUGACUGGGGCGGUCGCCUCCGAAAGGGUAUCGGAGGCGCUCAAAGGUUCCCUCAGAAUGGUUGGAAACCAUUCGAAGAGUGCAAAGGCAGAAGGGAGCUUGACUGUGACACCGACGGGUGGAACAGGUACGAAAGUAGGACUUAGUGAUCCGGUGGUAUAAAGUGGGAUUGCCAUCGCUCAACGGAUAAAAGCUACCCUGGGAUAACAGGCUUAUCACUCCCAAGAGUUCACAUCGACGGAGUGGUUUGGCACCUCGAUGUCGGCUCAUCGCAUCCUGGGGCUGUAGCAGGUCCCAAGGGUUGGGCUGUUCGCCCAUUAAAGCGGUACGCGAGCUGGGUUCAGAACGUCGUGAGACAGUUCGGUCCCUAUCCGGCGCAGGCGGAGGAUAUUUGAGAGGAGCUGUCCUUAGUACGAGAGGACCGGGAUGGACGGACCACUGGUGUAUCUGUUGGCUAUCGGAGCCAUGGCAGAGUAGCCAAGUCCGGCAGGGAUAAACGCUGAAGGCAUCUAAGCGUGAAGCCCCCCUCAAGAUGAGAUAUCCCUCAGAAAUGAGUAAGACCCCUUGAAGACUACGAGGUAGAUAGGAAUGAGGUGUAAGCACAGCAAUGUGUUCAGCUGACAUUUACUAAUCGGUCGAGGGCUUGACCU
rnacentral:rRNA from 1 species